GGGCCCAUAGCUCAGUUGGUUAGAGCGCGUCGCUGAUAACGACGAGGUCGCUGGUUCAAAUCCAGCUGGGCCCACCC
rnacentral:tRNA from 1 species